GCCGUGCUACCUAGGUGAUAGCGGAGCGGCUGGGUAGGAAGCAAUUGUUCUCAAACUUCACUAGCCCCGUCGGCGCGGACGCUUGUCGAGAAUGCAGAUUCCUGGGUACUGCCAGAUACGGUUGGUGAUCUUGUAGGGCUGGAGUGGAAGCCAUGAAUCUGCAUUUUCAUCAUUUCUGGCCCUCUGCCCGGGCUGGGGUGAUUCACGGGGAUUCGUAGUGGCCCCAAAGGAGCACGCAGAACCUCGGCUGCUGUGCAUUUAUCACCUCUUUUGUUCCCGGAGGCCGCACCCCAGGUCCAGUUUACACAGCUGCCAACUCCUUUUCUUGGUUCCCACUGGAAUCUAGGAAGAAAACUCGCCCUUUACUUCUCCGCCCCACACCCGACGACGGAGUGUCUAGAGGUCUGGUCGGCCUUGGCUGUGCGGAGGGCUAGGCCUGACGAGCGGGCGCUGAUGCGGCGCAGACCCCGCCGGACCUCUUGGUCGGCCCGGGGUAGGCUGGGGAGCCGCGGGAACAGGACUGGAUAGGGAAAGCGGCACCGCAGCGUCCACGGGCAAGCUGAAAGUCCGCUUGAUGUCUUUGCAUCACAGUGGCGCCCUCCCCGCAGGAACGCCCGGCCGCCUGCACCGAACGUUUGCCUGCAGGGAACGGCCAACCCGCCCUGAAAUACUCUUUUUGUGGGCUGCAGCUUUCGGAAUUGAGCAUACCACAAAAAAGUUCUCAUUUUGUGUCCUCCCAUCCCAUUCUCCUCACUAACCAAAGGCUAGGAAUUAUCUGUGAAUGUAGGACCACUGGAUUUGCAGUCUUCAUCUGACACUGUGGAGAGUUUCUAGGAAUGAAACAGAUAUAUGGCCUUGGGUCCCCUUUUUUUUUCUUUUUUUUUUUUUUAAUAGAGACGAGCAUCUCACUAUGUUGCCUAGGGUAGUCUUGAACUCCUGGCCUCAAGCAAUCCCCACCCGACUCCGCCUCUCGAAGUGAUGGGAUUACAGGCAUAAACCACCACGCCUGGCCAGAAGGUGCUUUAACACCAAAUCUGAAAAUUGUUCAGAAGAGAAACAUUGAGCAUGAACACCAUCUGUGCGAGUCAUUUACUUAUUGCCCCUCACCUCUAAAUCUACCUUCUGUACUCUUCUUCCCUGUAAUGAUGGGGCUAGUUGUCCUCAAACUGUUUCUCAGACUUCUUUUUAAGCUUGCUUCCUGUUCAGUUCUGCCAAUAGGGGUCACUAGAGAGAGACUGGGAGGCAGAAGGAGAGAAUAUGCUUCCUGUUUUUUCUGUUCUUGUUAAUGUUGCUUACAGGACCAGCAAUGCUUCUUCACCUAGAGACACUUCUCCCAGCAGUGGCAGUGCCACUUCAGCUUCUUUCAGCACUACUGGAAUCAGCCUCAGUGAUUCCCCCUGUACCCGCUCAGAGAUUAUCCACAGCAGCCAGAUGGUUCUACCUUCCACAAAGAUUGUGGUUGCAAUUCUGGGCUUCUAAGUUCUGGUUACUUCAUAUUUUUCCUUUUGUUCCUCCAGCCCUAGAGGUGGUAGCUGCUUUCUGAAGUUAUUAUUUCUAGAUGACUUUUGGUUUUUCAGCCUUUGUAUUUUGCUUUUCAGCCCUCUAAUGCCUGUAUAACCAAUUUCCCUGUAAUAAAUAAAUUUCCUCCAUUGAAAUAC
rnacentral:lncRNA from 10 species